UUACAAUAAAAAUGAUGUCUCCACUUAUUUGUGGUGUCACUCUGAGGGAAAUAGUCGGAGUCUUUUCACAGAAAAGACGGAGAGGUUGUUCAGCAGGAGCGGGUUAAUCCGAGCUCCCAUGCCUGCUGCAGUCACAGUACAAGGGCCACGCUUGGAAAAGUUGGAAAACUUUUUCCCCGUGGUGGAGAAAAGCCCUCAUC
rnacentral:lncRNA from 1 species